rnacentral:rRNA from 1 species
CCUACGGGGAGCAGCAGUGGGGAAUAUUGGACAAUGGGCGAAAGCCUGAUCCAGCCAUGCCGCGUGUGUGAAGAAGGCCUUCGGGUUGUAAAGCACUUUCAGUGGGGAAGAAAGCCUUGGGGCUAAUACCCUCGAGGAAGGACAUCACCCACAGAAGAAGCACCGGCUAACUCCGUGCCAGCAGCCGCGGUAAUACGGAGGGUGCGAGCGUUAAUCGGAAUUACUGGGCGUAAAGCGCGCGUAGGCGGUCUGAUAAGCCGGUUGUGAAAGCCCCGGGCUCAACCUGGGAACGGCAUCCGGAACUGGCAGGCUAGAGUGCAGGAGAGGAAGGUAGAAUUCCCGGUGUAGCGGUGAAAUGCGUAGAGAUCGGGAGGAAUACCAGUGGCGAAGGCGGCCUUCUGGACUGACACUGACGCUGAGGUGCGAAAGCGUGGGUAGCAAACAGGAUUAGAUACCCCAGUAGUC